rnacentral:rRNA from 1 species
AUUGAACGCUGGCGGCAGGCCUAACACAUGCAAGUCGAACGCGUGGCGGACGGGUGAGUAUUGUCUGGGAAACUGCCCGAUGGAGGGGGUUAACUACUGGAAACGGUAGCUAAUACCGCAUACCCUCUGAUGUGCCCCGAUGGGAUUAGCUUGUAGGUGGGGUAACGGAGCACCGAGGCGACGAUCCCUAGCCGGUCUGUGAGGAUGACCAGCCACACUGGAACUGAGACACGGUCCAGACUCCUACGGGAGGCAGCAGUGGGGAAUAUUGCACAAUGGGCGCAAGCCUGAUGCAGCCAUGCCGCGUGUAUGAAGAAGGCCUUCGGGUUGUAAAGUACUUUCAGCGGGGAGGCGUUACCCGCAGAAGAAGCACCGGCUAACUCCGUGCCAGCAGCCGCGGUAAUUC